GGGGCUGGGGCUCAGUGGUGGAGCACUUGCCUAGCAAGCACGAAGCCCUGGUUUCAAUCCUCAGCACCA
rnacentral:tRNA from 1 species